UACGGAAGGUGCAAGCGUUAUCCGGUUUUAUUGGGUUUAAAGGGUGCGUAGGCGGCUUGUUAAGUCAGUUGUGAAAUCCUAGCGCUCAACGUUAGAACUGCGAUUGAUACUGAUAGGCUUGAGUCAAGAAGAGGUAGGUAGAAUUUAUGGUGUAGUAGUGAAAUGCUUAGAUAUCAUAAGGAAUACCAAUAGCGUAGGCAGCUUACUGGUCUUGAACUGACGCUGAGGCACGAAAGCGUGGGGAG
rnacentral:rRNA from 1 species